rnacentral:lncRNA from 1 species
ACACAAACCCCGAGAAAGCAUUCCUGGAAAUCUCGGCCCAAAAAAGGACGUUUAGUAAUUCUAAAAGGGACUACAGGAUGAAAAACAAUAGUUUUGGCAGUUAAAGUUUGAGAUUCGAUAAUGCCGUAGAUCCGUUUGGUCAUCAGGUGUAACGAGCCACACCCAUGUCUGGUUAGAGUAGUGUGCUAGGCUCAGACUAGAUAAGAAACGGGGAACAAACUGAUGAAAGAAUGAUCAUACCGAGCGAAUUCACUCAGAACUAACAAGAAUGAUAACAUGCUCCGACUGGAGCGGUUUAGGAACUGCUGGAAGGCUCUAGGGGAAUAAAGAUGGAAUGACUUCUAAUUUUUAGGUCCGUAUGAUUUGAAAUACUUGCACACAAACCACGCGAAAGCGUUCCUGGAAAUCUCAGCCCAAAAAAGGACGUUUAGUAAUUCUAAAAGGGACUACAGGAUGAAAAACAAUAGUUUUGGCAGUUAAAGUUUGAGAUUCGACAGUGCCGUAGAUCCGUUUGGUCAUCAGGUAUUACGAGCCACACCCAUGUCUAGCUAGAAUAGUGUGCUAGGCUCAGGCUAGAGAAGAAACGGGGAACAAACUGAUGAAAGAAUGAUCAAACCGAGGGAAUUCACUCAGAACUAACAAUAAUGAUAACGUGCUCCGACUGGUGCGGUUUAGGAACUGCUGGAAGGCUCUAGGGGAAUAAAGAUGGAAUGACUUCUAAUUUUUAGGUCCGUAUGAUUUGAAAUACUUGCACACAAACCGCGCGAAAGCGUUCCUGGAAAUCUCAGCCCAAAAAAGGACGUUUAGUAAUUUUAAAAGGGACUAUAGGAUGAAAAACAAUAGUUUUGGCAAUUAAAGUUUGAGAUUCGACGGUGUCGUAGAUCCGUUUGGUCAUCAGGUGUUACGAGCCACACCCAUGUCUAGCUAGAAUAGUAUGUCAGGCUCAGGUUAGAGUAGAAACGGGGAACAAACUGAUGAAAGAAUGAUCAUACCAAGGGAAUUCACUCAGAACUAUCAAGAAUGAUAACGUGCUCCGACUGGAGUGAUUUAGGAACUGCUGGAAGGCUCUAGGGGAAUAAAGAUGGAAUGACUUCUAAUUUUUACGUCCGUAUGAUUUGAAAUACUUGCACACAAAUCACGCAAAAGCGUUCCUGGAAAUCUCAGCCUAAAAAAGGACGUUUAGUAAUUCUAAAAGGGACUACAGGAUGAAAAACAAUAGUUUGGGCAGUUAAAAUUUGAGAUUCGACGGUGCCGUAGAUCCGUUUGGUCAUCAGGUGUUACGAGCGACACCCUUGUCUAGCUAGAAUAGUGUGUUAGGCUCAGACUAGAGAAGAAACGGGGAACAAAGUGAUGAAAGAAUGAUCAUACCGAGGGAAUUCACUCAGAACUAACAAGAAUGAUAACGUGCUCCGACUGGAGCGGUUUAGUAACUGCUGGAAGGCUCUAGGGGAAUGAAGAUGGAAUGACUUCUAAUUUUUAGGUCCGUAUGAUUUGAAAUACAUGCACACAAACCCUGAGAAAGCGUUCCUGGAAAUCUCGGUCGAAAAAAGGAUGUUUAAUAAUUCUAAAAGGGACUACCGGAUGAAAAACAAUAGUUUUGGCAGUUAAAGUUUGUGAUUCGAUGGUGCCGUAGAUCUGUUUGGUCAUCAGGUGUUACGAGCCACACCCAUGUCUAUCUAGAAUAGUGUGUUAGGCUCAGGCUAGAGCAGAAACGGGGAACAGACUUAUGAAAGAAUGAUCAUACCGAGGGAAUUCACUCAGAACUAACAAGAAUGAUAACGUGCUCCGACUGGCGCGGUUUAGGAACUGCUGGAAGGCUCUAGGGGAAUAAAGAUGGAAAGACUUCUAAUUUUUAGGUCCGUAUGAUUUGAAAUACUUGCACACAAACCGCACGAAAGCGUUCCUGGAAAUCUCAGCCUAAAAAGGAUGUUUAGUAAUUCUAAAAGGGACUACAAGAUGAAAAAUAAUAGUUUGGGCAGUUAAAAUUUGAGAUUCGACGAUGCCGUAGAUCCGUUUGGUCAUCAGGUGUUAUGAGCCACACCCAUGUCUAGCUAGAAUAGUGUGUUAGGCUCAGGCUAGAGAAGAAACGGGGAACAAACUGAUGAAAGAAUGAUCAUACCGAGGGAAUUCACUCAGAACUAACAAGAAUGAUAACGUGCUCCGACUGGAGCAGUUUAGAAACUGCUGGAAGGCUCUAAUGGAAUAAAGAUGGAAUGCCUUCAAAUUUCUAGGUCCGUAUGAUUUGAAAUACUUGCACACAAACCGCUCGAAAGCGUUCCUGGAAAUCUCAGCCCAAAAAAGGACGUUUAGUAAUUCUAAAAGGGACUACAGGAUGAAAAACAAUAGUUUUGGCAGUUAAAGUUUGAGAUUCGAUGGUGCCGUAGAUCCGUUUGGUCAUCAGGUGUAACGAGCCACACACAUGUCUAGCUAGAGUAGUGUGCUAGGCUCAGACUAGAGAAGAAACGGGGAACAAAGUGAUGAAAGAAUGAUCAUACCGAGGGAAUUCACUCAGAACUUACAAGAAUGAUAACGUGCUCCGACUGGAGCGCUUUAGUAACUGCUGGAAGGCUCUAGGCGAAUAAAGAUGGAAUGACUUCUAAUUUUUAGGUCCGUAUGAUUUGAAAUACUUGCACACAAACCACGCAAAACCGUUCCUAGAAAUCUCGGUCGAAAAAAGGACGUUUAGUAAUUCUAAAAGGGACUACAGGAUGAAAAACAAUAGUUUUGGCAGUUAAAGUUUGAGAUUCGAUGGUGCCGUAGAUCCGUUUGGUCAUCAGGUGUUACGAGCCACACCCAUGUCUAGCUAGAGUAGUGUGCUAGGUUCAGACUAGAGAAGAAACGGGGAACAAAGUGAUUAAAGAAUGAUCAUACCGAGGGAAUUCACUCAGAACUAACAAGAAUGAUAACGUGCUCCGACUGGAGCGGUUUAGGAACUGCUGGAAGGCUCUAGGGGAAUAAAGAUGGAAUGACUUCUAAUUUUUACGUCCGUAUGAUUUGAAAUACAUGCACACAAACCACGCAAAAGCGUUCCUGGAAAUCUCAGCCUAAAAAAGGACGUUUAGUAAUUCUAAAAGGGACUACAGGAUGAAAAAUAAUAGUUUGGGCAGUUAAAAUUUGAGAUUCGACGCUGCCGUAGAUCCGUUUGGUCAUCAGGUCUUACGAGCCACACCCAUGUCUAGCUAGAAUAGUGUGUUAGGCUCAGGCUAGAGAAGAAACGGGGAACAAACUGAUGAAAGAAUGAUCAUACCGAGGGAAUUCACUCAGAACUAACAAGAAUGAUAACGUGCUCCGACUGGAGCAGUUUAGAAACUCCUGGAAGGCUCUAGGGGAAUAAAGAUGGAAUGACUUCAAAGUUUUAGGUCCGUAUGAUUUGAAAUACUUGCACACAAACCGCGUGAAAGCGUUCCUGGAAAUCUCAACCCAAAAAAGGGCGUUUAGUAAUUCUAAAAGGGACUACAGGAUGUAAAACAAUAGUUUUGGCAGUUAAAGUUUGAGAUUCGAUGGUGCCGUAGAUCCGUUUGGUCAUCAGGUGUAACGAGCCACACCCAUGUCUAGCUAGAGUAGUGUGCUAGGCUCAGACUAGAGAAGAAACGGGGAACAAAGUGAUGAAAGAAUGAUCAUACCGAGGGAAUUCACUCAUAACUAACAAGAAUGAUAACGUGCUCUGACUUGAGCGGUUUAGGAACUGCUGGAAGGCUAUAGGGGAAUAAAGAUGGAAUGACUUCAAAUUUUUAGGUCCGUAUGAUCUGAAAUACUUGCACACAAACCGCGAGAAAGCGUUCCUGGAAAUCUCAACCCAAAAAAGGACGUUUAGUAAUUCUAAAAGGGACUACAGGAUGAAAAACAAUAGUUCUGGCAGUUAUUGUUUGAGAUUCGAUAAUCUCGUAGAUCCGUUUGGUCAUCAGGUGUAACGAGCCACACCCAUGUCUAGCUAGAGUAGUGUGCUAGGCUCAGACUAGAGAAGAAACGGGGAACAAACUGAUGAAAGAAUGAUCAUACCGAGGGAAUUCACUUAGAACUAACAAGAAUGAUAACGUGCUCCGACUGGAGCGGUUUAGGAACUGCUGGAAGGCUCUAGGGGAAUAAAGAAGGAACGACUUCUAAUUUUUAGGUCCGUAUGAUUUGAAAUAUGUGCACACAAACCACGAGAAAGCGUUCCUAGAAAUCUCGGCCCAAAAGAGGACGUUUAGUAUUCUAAAAGGGACUACAGAAUGAAAAACAAUAGUUUUGGCAGUUAAAGUUUGAGAUUUGACGGUGCCGUAGAUCUGUUUGGUCAUCAGGGGUUACGAGCCACACCCAUGUCUAGCUAGAAUAGUGUGUUAGGCUCAGGCUAGAAAAGAAACGGGGAACAAAGUGAUGAAAGAAUGAUCAUACCGAGGGAAUUCACUCAGAACUAACAAGAAUGAUAACAUGCUCCGACUGGAGCGGUUUAGGAACUGCUGGAAGGCUCUAGGGGAAUAAAGAUGGAAUGACUUCUAAUUUUUAGGUCCGUAUGAUUUGAAAUACUUGCACACAAACCGCGCGAAAGCGUUCCUGGAAAUCUCAGCCCAAAAAAGGACGUUUAGUAAUUCUAAAAGGGACUACAGGAUGAAAAACAAUAGUUUUGGCAGUUAAAGUAUGAGAUUCAACGGUGCCGUAGAUCCGUUUGGUCAUUAGGUGUUACGAGCCACACCCAUGUCUAGCUAGAAUAGUGUGCUAGGCUCAGGCUAGAGAAGAAACGGGGAACAAACUGAUGAAAGAAUGAUCAAACCGAGGGAAUUCACUCAGAACUAACAAUAAUGAUAACGUGCUCCGACUGGAGCGGUUUAGGAACUGCUGGAAGUCUCUAGGGGAAUAAAGAUGGAAUGACUUCUAAUUUUUACGUUCGUAUGAUUUGAAAAACUUGCCCAUAAACCGCGCGAAAGUGUUCCUGGAAAUCUCAGCCCAAAAAAGGACGUUUAGUAAUUUUAAAAGGGACUACACGAUGAAAAACAAUAGUUUUGGCAGGUAAAGUUUGAGAUUCGACAGUGCCGUAGAUCCGUUUGGUCAUCAGGUGUUACGAGCCACACCCAUGUCUAGCUAGAAUAGUAUGUUACGCUCAGGUUAGAGAAGAAACGGGGAACAAACUGAUGAAAGAUGAUCAUACCAAGGGAAUUCACUCAGAACUAACAAGAAUGAUAACGUGCUCCGACUGGAGCGGUUUAGGAACUGCUGGAAGGCUCUAGGGGAAUAAAGAUGGAAUGACUUCUAAUUUUUACGUCUGUAUGAUUUGAAAUACUUGCACACAAACAACGCAAAAGCAUUCCUGGAAAUCUCAUCCUAAAAAAGGACGUUUAGUAAUUCUAAAAGGGACUACAGGAUGAAAAAUAAUAGUUUGGGAAGUUAAAAUUUGAGAUUCGAUAGUGCCGUAGAUCCGUUUGGUCAUCAGGUGUUAGGAGCCACACCCAUGUCUAGCUAGAAUAGUGUGUUAGGCUCAGGCUAGAGAAGAAACAGGGAACAAACUGAUGAAAGAAUGAUCAUACCGAGGGAAUUCACUCAGAACUAGCAAGAAUGAUAACGUGCUCCGACUGGAGCAGUUUUGAAACUGCUGGAAGGCUCUAGGGGAAUAAUGAUGGAAUGACUUCUAAGUUUUUGGUCCGUAUGAUUUGAAAUACGUGCACACAAACCCAGAGAAAGUGUUCUUGGAAAUCUCGGCCGAAAAAAGGAUGUUUAAUAAUUCUAAAAGGGACUACAGGAUGAAAAACAAUAGUUUUGGCAGUUAAAGUUUGUGAUUCGAUGGUGCUGUAGAUCUGUUUGGUCAUCAGGUGUUAUGAGCCACACCCAUGUCUAGCUAGAACAGUGUGUUAGGCUCAGGCUAGAGCAGAAACGGGGAACAAACUUAUGAAAGAAUGAUCAUACCGAGGGAAUUCACUCAGAACUAACAAGAAUGAUAACGUGCUCCGACUGGAGAGGUUUAGGAACUGCUGGAAGGCUCUAGGGGAAUAAAGAUGGAAUGACUUCAAAUUUUUAGGUCUGUAUGAUCUGAAAUACUUGCACACAAACCGCGAGAAAGCGUUCCUGGAAAUCUCAGCCCAAAAAAGGACGUUUAGUGAUUCUAAAAGGGACUACGGGAUAAAAAACAAUAGUUUUGGCAGUUAAAGUUUGAGAUUCGAUAAUGCCGUAGAUCCGUUUGGUCAUCAGGUGUAACGAGCCACACCCAUGUCUAGCUAGAGUAGUGUGCUAGGCUCAUACUAGAGAAGAAAUGGGGAACAAACUGAUGAAAGAAUGAUCAUACCGAGGGAGUUCACUCAAAACUAACAUGAAUGAUAACGUGCUCCGACUGGAGCGGUUUAGGAACUGCUGGAAGGCUCUAGGGGAAUAAAGAUGGAAUGACUUCUAAUUUUUAGGUCCGUAUGAUUUGAAAUACAUGCACACAAACCCCAAGAAAGCGUUCCUGGAAAUCUCGCCCCGAAAAACGACGUUUAGUAAUUCUAAAAGGGACUAUAGGAUGAAAAACAAUAGUUUUGGCAGUUAAAGUUUGAGAUUUGACGGUGCCGUAGAUCUGUUUGGUCAUCAGGUGUUACGAGCCACACCCAUUUCUAGCUAGAAUAGUGUGUUAGGCUCAGGCUAGAAAAGAAACGGGGAACAAAGUGAUGAAAGAAUGAUCAUACCGAGGGAAUUCACUCAGAACUAACAAGAAUGAUAACAUGGUCCGACUGGAGCGGUUUAGGAACUGCUGGAAGGCUCUAGGGGAAUAAAGAUGGAAUGACUUCUAACUUUUAGGUCCGUAUGAUUUGAAUUACUUGCACACAAACCGCGCGAAAGCGUUCCUGGAAAUCUCAGCCCAAAAAAGGACGUUUAGUAAUUCUAAAAGGGACUACAGGAUGAAAAACAAUAGUUUUGGCAGUUAAAGUUUGAGAUUCGACGGUGCCGUAGAUCCGUUUGGUCAGCAGGUGUUACGAGCCACACCCAUGUCUAGCUAGAGUAGUGUGCUAGGUUCAGACUAGAGAAGAAAUGUUGGGGAACGUAGCAGAAAUUCAAAAUUUUCCUACGUGUCACCAAGAUCUAUCUAUGGAGAGACUAGCAACGAGGGAAGGAGAGUGCAUCUACAUACCCUUGUAGAUCGCUAAGCGGAAGCGUUCAAGUGAACGGGGUUGAUGGAGUCGUACUCGUCGUGAUUCAGCUCACCGAUGAUCCUAGUGCCGAACGGACGGCACCUCCGCGUUCAACACACGUACAGCUCGACGAUGUCUCCCACGCCUUGAUCCAGCAAGGAGAGAGGGAGAGGUUGAGGAAGACUCCAUCCAGCAGAAGCACAACGGCGUGGUGGUGAUGGAGGAGCAUGGCAAUCCUGCAGGGCUUCGCCAAGCACCUAUGGGAGAGGAGGAGGUGUCACGGGAGGGAGGGAGGCGCCAAGGGCUCAGGUAUAGAUGCCCUCCCUCCCCUCCACUAUAUAUAGGGGCAAGGGAGAGGGGGGAGGCGCAGCCUUGCCCCUUCCUCCAAGGAAGGGGUGCGGCUAAGAGGGGGGGAGGAGUCCAUCCUCCCCAAGGCACCUCGGAGGUGCCUUCCCCCUUUAGGACUCUCCCCUUUUUCCUAUAUCUUGGCGCAUGGGCCUCUAGGGGCUGGUUCCCUUGGCCCAUGUAGGCCCAGGCGCACCCCCUACAGCCCAUGUGGCCCCCCGGGGCAGGUGGCCCCACCUGGUGGGCCCCCGGGACCCUUCCGGUGGUCCCGGUACAAUACCGAUGACCCCGAAACUUGUCCCGAUGGCCGAAACAGGACUUCCUAUAUAUAAAUCUUUACCUCCGGACAAUUCCGGAACUCCUCGUGACGUCCGGGAUCUCAUCCGGGACUCCGAACAACAUUCGGUAACCACAUACAAACUUCCUUUAUAACCCUAGCGUCAUCGAACCUUAAGUGUGUAGACCCUACGGGUUCGGGAGACAUGUAGUCAUGACCGAGAUGUUCUCCGGUCAAUAACCAACAGCGGGAUCUGGAUACCCAUGUUGGCUCCCACAUGUUCCACGAUGAUCUCAUCGGAUGAACCACGAUGUCAAGGACUCAAUCAAUCCCGUAUACAAUUCCCUUUGUCUAGCGGUAUGGUACUUGCCCGAGAUUCGAUCGUCGGUAUACCGAUACCUUGUUCAAUCUCGUUACCGGCAAGUCUCUUUACUCAUUUCGUAACACAUCAUCCCGUGAUCAACCCCUUGGUCACAUUGUGCACAUUAUGAUGAUGUCCUACCGAGUGGGCCCAGAGAUACCUCUCCGUUUACACGGAGUGACAAAAUCCCAAUCUCGAUUCGUGCCAACCCAACAGACACUUUCAGAGAUACCCGUAGUGUACCUUUACAGCCACCCAGUUACGUUGUGACGUUUGGCACACCCAAAGCACUCCUACAGUAUCCGGGAGUUGCACAAUCUCAUGGUCUAAGGAAAUGAUACUUGACAUUAGAAAAGCUUUAGCAUACGAACUACAUGAUCUUGUGCUAGGCUUAGGAUUGGGUCUUGUCCAUCACAUCAUUCUCCUAAUGAUGUGAUCCCGUUAUCAACGACAUCCAAUGUCCAUGGUCAGGAAACCGUAACCAUCUAUUGAUUAACGAGCUAGUCAACUAGAGGCUUACUAGGGACAUGGUGUUGUCUAUGUAUCCACACAUGUAUCUAAGUUUCCUAUCAAUACAAUUCUAGCAUGGAUAAUAAACGAUUAUCAUGAACAAGGAAAUAUAAUAAUAAUCAAUUUAUUAUUGCCUCUAGGGCAUAUUUCCAACAGUCUCCCACUUGCACUAGAGUCAAUAAUCUAGUUCACAUCGAUAUGUGAUUAACACUCAAGGUCACAUUCCCAUGUGACUAACACCCAAGAGUUUACUAGAGUCAAUAAUCUAGUUCACAUUUACCAUGUGAUUAACACUUGAUGAGUUCUGGGUUUGAUCAUGUUAUGCUUGUGAGAGAGGUUAUAGUCAACGGGUCUGAACCUUUCAGAUCCGUGUGUGCUUUACAAAUCUCUAUGUCAUCUCCUAGAUGCAGCUACCACGUUCUAUUUGGAGCUAUUCCAAAUAACUGUUCUACUUGGAGCUAUUCUAAAUUGUUGCUCCAUUAUACGUAUCCGGUAUCUCUACUCAGAGCUAUCCGGAUAGGUGUUAAGCUUGCAUCGACGUAACCCUUUACGACGAACUCUUUUACCACCUCCAUAAUUGAGAAAAUUCCUUAGUCCACUAGUUACUAAGGAUAACUUUGACCGCUGUCCUGUGAUCCAUUCUUGGAUCACUCUUGUACCCCUUGACUGACUCAUGGUAAAGCACACUUCAGGUGCGGUACACAGCAUAGCAUACUGUAGAGCCUAUGUCUUAAGCAUAGGGGACGACCUUCGUUCCUUUCUCUCUAUUCUGCCAUGGUCGAGCUUUAAGUCUUAACUUCAUACCUUACAACUCAGGCAAGAACUCCUUCUUUGACUGAUCCAUCUUGAACACCUUCAAGAUCACGUCAAGGCAUGUGCUCACGUCAAGAUCACGUCGGUAUACCGAUACCUUGUUCAAUCUCGUUACCGGCAAGUCUCUUUACUCGUUCCGUAACACAUCAUCCCGUGAUCAACCCCUUGGUCACAUUGUGCACAUUAUGAUGAUGUCCUACCGAGUGGGCCCAGAGAUACCUCUCCGUUUACACGGAGUGACAAAAUCCCAAUCUCGAUUCGUGCCAACCCAACAGACACUUUCAGAGAUACCCGUAGUGUACCUUUAUAGCCACCCAGUUACGUUGUGACGUUUGGCACACCCAAAGCACUCCUACGGUAUCCGGGAGUUGCACAAUCUCAUGGUCUAAGGAAAUGAUACUUGACAUUAGAAAAGCUUUAGCAUACGAACUACAUGAUCUUGUGCUAGGCUUAGGAUUGGGUCUUGUCCAUCACAUCAUUCUCCUAAUGAUGUGAUCCCGUUAUCAACGACAUCCAAUGUCCAUGGUCAGGAAACCGUAACCAUCUAUUGAUUAACGAGCCAGUCAACUAGAGGCUUACUAGGGACAUGGUGUUGUCUAUGUAUCCACACAUGUAUCUGAGUUUCCUAUCAAUACAAUUCUAGCAUGGAUAAUAAACGAUUAUCAUGAACAAGGAAAUAUAAUAAUAAUCAAUUUAUUAUUGCCUCUAGGGCAUAUUUCCAACAGUCUCCCACUUGCACUAGAGUCAAUAAUCUAGUUCACAUCACCAUGUGAUUAACACUGACAGGUCACAUCACCAUGUGACCAACAUCCAAAGAGUCUUGGGUUUGAUCAUGUUGCUUGUGAGAGAGGUUAUAGUCAACGGGUCUGAACCUUUCAGAUCCGUGUGUGCUUUACAAAUCUCUAUGUCAUCUCCUAGAUGCAGCUACCACGUUCUAUUUGGAGCUAUUCCAAAUAACUGUUCUACUUGGAGCUAUUCUAAAUUGUUGCUCCAUUAUACGUAUCCGGUAUCUCUACUCAGAGCUAUCCGGAUAGGUGUUAAGCUUGCAUCGACGUAACCCUUUACGACGAACUCUUUUACCACCUCCAUAAUUGAGAAAAUUCCUUAGUCCACUAGUUACUAAGGAUAACUUUGACCGCUGUCCUGCGAUCCAUUCUUGGAUCACCCUUGUACCCCUUGACUGACUCAUGGUAAAGCACACUUCAGGUGCGGUACACAGCAUAGCAUACUGUAGAGCCUAUGUCUUAAGCAUAGGGGAUGACCUUCGUUCCUUUCUCUCUAUUCUGCCAUGGUCGAGCUUUAAGUCUUAACUUCAUACCUUACAACUCAGGCAAGAACUCCUUCUUUGACUGGUCCAUCUUGAACACCUUCAAGAUCAUGUCAAGGUAUGUGCUCAUUUGAAAGUACUAUUAAGCGUUUUGAUCUAUCCUUAUAGAUCUUGAUGCUCAAUGUUCAAGUAGCUUAAUCCAGGUUUUCCAUUGAAAACACUUUCCAAAUAACCCUAUAUGCUUUCCAGAAAUUCUACGUCAUUUCUGAUCAUUAAUAUGUCAACAACAUAUAAUCAUCAGAAAUUCUAUAGUGCUCCCACUCACUUCUUUGGAAAUACAAGUUUCUCAUAAACUUUGUAUACACCCAAAAUCUUUGAUCAUCAUCAAAGCAUACAUUCCAACUCCGAGAUGCUCACUCCAGUCCUCAGAAGGAUUGCUGGAGCUUUGCAUACUUAUUAGCAUAUUUCAGGAUAGACAAAACCUUCCAGUUGUAUCACAUACAACCUUUCCUCAAGAAUCGUCGACGAAACAAUGUUUUGACAUCCUAUCUGCAAGAUUUCAUAAAUAAUGCAGUAAUUGUUAAUAUAAUUCCAACAGACUCUUAGCAUCGCUACGAGUGAGAAAGUCUCAUUGUAGUCAACUCCUUGAACUUGUCAAAAAACAUCUUAACGACAAGUCGAGCUUUCUCAAUGGUGACACUUACCAUCAUUGUCUGUCUUCCUUUCAAAAUCCAUAUGUACCUAACAGCCUUACGACCAUCAAGUAGUUCUUCCAAAGUCUACACUUUGUUUUCAUACAUGGAUCCUCUCUCGGGUUUUAUGGCCAUGAGCCAUUUAUCGGAAUCCGGGCCCACCAUUGCUUCUCCAUAGCUCGUAGGUUCAUUGUUGUCUAGCAACAUGACUUCCAAGACAGGAUUACUGUACCACUCUGAAGUAGUACGUAUCCUUGUCACCCUACGAGGUUUGGGAGUGACUUGAUCUGAAGUUUCAUGAUCACUAUCAUAAGCUUCUACUUCAAUUGGUGUAGGUGCCACAGGAACAACUUCCUGUGCCCUGCUACACACUGGUUGAAGUGAUGGUUCAAUAACCUCAUCAAGUCUCCACCAUCCUCCCACUCAAUUCUUUCGAGAGAAACCUUUCCUCGAGAAAGGACCCAAUUCUAGAAACAAUUCAUAUUGCUUUCGGAUCUGAAUUAGGAAGUAUACCCAACUGUUUUGGGUGUCCUAUGAAGAUGUACUUUAUCCGCUUUGGUUUCGAGCUUAAUCCUGAAACUUUUUCACAUAAGUGUCGCAGCCCCAAACCUUUAAGAAACGACAACUUAGGUUUCUCUAAACCAUAAUUCAUACGGUGUCAUCUCAUCGGAAUUACGUGGUGCCCUAUUUAAAGUGAAUGUGGUUGUCUUUAAUGCCUAACCCAUAAACUAUCGUGGCAGUUCGAUAAGAGACAUCAUGGUAUGCAUCAUAUCCAAUAGGGUGCAACUAUGAUGUUCGGACACACCAUCACACUAUGGUGUUCCAGGCGGUAUUAAUUGUGAAACAAUUUCCACAAUGUCUUAAUUGUGUGCCAAAACUCGUAACUCAGAUACUCAUCUCUAUGAUCAUAUCAUAGACAUUUUAUCCUCUUGUCACAAUGAUCUUCUACUUCACUCUGAAAUUACUUGAACCAUUCAACAAUUCAGACUUGUGUUUCAUCAAGUAAAUAUUCUCAACAUCUACUCGAAUCAUCUGUGAAGUAAGAACAUAACGAUAUUCACUGCAUGCCUCAGCACUCAUUGGACUGCACACAUCAAAAUGUGUUACUUCCAACAAGUUGCUAUCUUGUUCCAUCUUACUGAAAACGAGGCUUUUCAGUCAUCUUGCCCAUGUGGUAUGAUUUGCAUGUCCCAAGUGAUUCAAAAAUCAAGUGAGUCAAAACGGUCCAUUUGCAUGGAGUUUCUUCAUGCAUAUACACCAAUAGACAUGGUUCGCAUGUCUCAAACUUUUCAAAAACGAGUGAGCCCAAAGAUCCAUCAAUAUGGAGCUUCUUCAUGCGUUUUAUACCGAUAUGACUUACGUGGUAGUGCCACAAGUAGGUGGUACUAUCAUUACUAUCUUUUGGCAUGAACAUGUGUAUCACUACGAUCGAGAUUUAAUAAACCAUUCAUUUUAGGUGUAAGACCAUUGAAGGUAUUAUUCAAAUAAACAGAGUAACCAUUAUUCUCCUUAAAUGAAUAACCGUAUUGCGAUAGACGUAAUCCAAUCAUGUCUAUGCUCAACGCAAACACCAAAUAACAAUUAUUUAGGUUUAACACCAAUCUCUUUGGUAGAGGGAGCGUGCGAUGCUUGAUCAUAUCAAGCAUGGAAAAACUUACAACACAUAUCGUCAGCUCACCUUUAGCUAGUCUCUGUUUAUUCCGUAGCCUUUUGUUUCGAGUUACUAACACUUAGCAACCGAACUGGUAUCUAAUACCCUGGUGCUACUAGGAGUACUAGCAAAGUACACAUUAACACAAUGUAUAUCCAAUAUACUUCUAUCGACCUUGCCAGCCUUCUUAUCUACCAAGUAUCUAGGGUAAUUCUGCUCUAGUAGUUGUUCCCCUUAUUACAGAAGCACUUAGUCUCGGGUUUGGGUUUUACCUUGGGUUUCUUCACUAGAGCAGCAGCUGAUUUGCCGUUUCAUGAAGUAUCCCUUCUUGCCCUUGCCCUUCUUGAAACUAGUGGUUCCACCAACCAUCAACAAUUGAUGCUCCUUCUUGAUUUCUACUUUCGCGGUGUCAAACAUCGCGAAUACCUCAAGGAUCAUCAUAUCUAUCCCUGAUAUGUUAUAGUUCAUCAUGAAGCUCUAACAGCUUGGUGGCAAUGACUUUGGAGAACCAUCACUAUCUCAUCUGGAAGAUCAACUCCCACUCGAUUCAAGCGAUUGUUGUACUCAGACAAUCUGAGCACAAGCUCAACGAUUGAGCUUUUCUCCCUUAGUUUGCAGGUUAAGAAAGUCAUCGGAGGUCUUAUACCUCUUGACAUGGGCACGAGCCUGAAAUCCCAAUUUCAGCCCUCAAAACAUCUCAUAUGUUUCGCGAUGUUUCAAAAACGUCUUUGGUGCCUCAACUCUAAACCGUUUAACUGAACUAUCACGUAGUUAUCAAAACGUGUAUGUCAGAUGUUCGCAACAACCACAGACAACGUUCGAGGUUCAGCACACUGAGCGGUGCAUUAAGGACAUAAGCCUUCUAUGAAGCAAUGAGGACAAUCCUCAGUUUACGGACCUAGUCCGCAUAAUUGCUACUAUCAACUUUCAACUAAUUUUUCUCUAGGAACAUAUCUAAACAGUAGAACUAUAGCGUGAGCUACGACAUAAUUUGCAAAAACCUUUUGACUAUGUUCAGGAUAAUUAAGUUCAUCUUAUGAACUCCCACUCAGAUAGACAUCCCUCUAGUCAUCUAAGUGAUUACAUGAUCCGAGUCAAACUAGGCCGUGUCCGAUCAUCACGUGAGACGGACUAGUCAUCAUCGGUGAACAUCUUCAUGUUGAUCGUAUCUUCUAUACGACUCAUGUUCGACCUUUCGGUCUUCGUGUUCCGAGGCCAUGUAUGUACAUGCUAGGCUCGUCAAGUUAACCCUAAGUGUUUCGCGUGUGUAAAUCUGUCUUACACCCGUUGUAUGUGAACGUUAGAAUCUAACACCCGAUCAUCACGUGGUGCUUCGAAACACGAACUGUCGCAACGGUGCACAGUUAGGGGAGAACACUUCUUGAAAUUGUUGUAAGGGAUCAUCUUAUUUACUACCGUCGUUCUAAGCAAAUAAGAUGUAUAAACAUGAUAAACAUCACAUGCAAUCAAAUAGUGACAUGAUAUGGCCAUCAUCACUUUGCUCCUUUUGAUCUCCAUCUUCGGGGCUCCAUGAUCAUCAUCGUCACCGGCAUGACACCAUGAUCUCCAUCAUCAUGAUCUCCAUCAUCGUGUCUUCAUGAAGUUGCCUCGCCAACUAUUACUUCUACUACUAUGGCUAACGGUUAGCAAUAAAGUAAAGUAAUUACAUGACGUUUAAGUUGACACGCAGGUCACAAAUGAAUAAAGACAACUCCUAUGGCUCCUGCCGGUUGUCAUACUCAUCGACAUGCAAGUCGUGAUUCCUAUUACAAGAACAUGAUCAAUCUCAUACAUCACAUAUAUCAUUCAUCACAUCCUUUUUGGCCAUAUCACAUCACAUAGCAUACCCUGCAAAAACAAGUUAGACGUCCUCUAAUUGUUGUUUGCAUGUUUUACGUGGCUGCUAUGGGUUUCUAGCAAGAACGUUUCUUACCUACGCAUGAACAACAACGUGAUAUGCCAAUUGCUAUUUACCCUUCAUAAGGACCCUUUUCAUCGAAUCCGAUCCGACUAAAGUGGGAGAGACAGACACCCGCCAGCCACCUUAUGCAACUAGUGCAUGUUUGUCGGUGGAACCGGUCUCACGUAAGCGUACGUGUAAGGUUGGUCCGGGCCGCUUCAUCCCACGAUGCCGCCGAAUCAAGAUAAGACUAGUAACGGCAAGCAUAUUGAACAAUAUCAACGCCCACAACUACUUUGUGUUCUACUCGUGCAAAGAAUCUACGCAAUAGACCUAGCUCAUGAUGCCACUGUUGGGGAACGUAGCAGAAAUUCAAAAUUUUCCUACGUGUCACCAAGAUCUAUCUAUGGAGAUACUAGCAACGAGGGAAGGAGAGUGCAUCUACAUACCCUUGUAGAUCGCUAAGCGGAAGCGUUCAAGUGAACGGGGUUGAUGGAGUCGUACUCGUCGUGAUUCAGAUCACCGAUGAUCCUAGUGCCGAACGGACGGCACCUCCGCGUUCAACACACGUACAGCUCGACGAUGUCUCCCACGCCUUGAUCCAGCAAGGAGAGAGGGAGAGGUUGAGGAAGACUCCAUCCAGCAGCAGCACAACGGCGUGGUGGUGAUGGAGGAGCGUGGCAAUCCUGCAGGGCUUCGCCAAGCACCUACGGGAGAGGAGGAGGUGUCACGGGAGGGAGGGAGGCGCCAAGGGCUCAGGUAUAGAUGCCCUCCCUCCCCUCCACUAUAUAUAGGGGCAAGGGAGAGGGGGAGGCGCAUCCUUGCCCCUUCCUCCAAGGAAGGGGUGCGGCUAAGAGGGGGGGAGGAGUCCAUCCUCCCCAAGGCACCUCGGAGGUGCCUUCCCCCUUUAGGACUCUCCCCUUUUUCCUAUAUCUUGGCGCAUGGGCCUCUAGGGGCUGGUGCCCUUGGCCCAUGUAGGCCAAGGCGCACCCCCCUACAGCCCAUGUGGCCCCCCGGGGCAGGUGGCCCCACCCGGUGGGCCCCCGGGACCCUUCCGGUGGUCCCGGUACAAUACCGAUGACCCCGAAACUUGUCCCGAUGGCCGAAACAGGACUUCCUAUAUAUAAAUCUUUACCUCCGGACCAUUCCGGAACUCCUCGUGACGUCCGGGAUCUCAUCCGGGACUCCGAACAACAUUCGGUAACCACAUACAAACUUCCUUUAUAACCCUAGCGUCAUCGAACCUUAAGUGUGUAGACCCUACGGGUUCGGGAGACAUGUAGUCAUGACCGAGAUGUUCUCCGGUCAAUAACCAACAGCGGGAUCUGGAUACCCAUGUUGGCUCGCACAUGUUCCACGAUGAUCUCAUCGGAUGAACCACGAUGUCAAGGACUCAAUCAAUCCCGUAUACAAUUCCCUUUGUCUAGCGGUAUGGUACUUGCCCGAGAUUCGAUCGUCGGUAUACCGAUACCUUGUUCAAUCUCGUUACCGGCAAGCCUCUUUACUCGUUCCGUAACACAUCAUCCCGUGAUCAACCCCUUGGUCACAUUGUGCACAUUAUGAUGAUGUCCUACCGAGUGGGCCCAGAGAUACCUCUCCGUUUACACGGAGUGACAAAAUCCCAAUCUCGAUUCGUGCCAACCCAACAGACACUUUCAGAGAUACCCGUAGUGUACCUUUAUAGCCACCCAGUUACGUUGUGACGUUUGGCACACCCAAAGCACUCCUACGGUAUCCGGGAGUUGCACAAUCUCAUGGUCUAAGGAAAUGAUACUUGACAUUAGAAAAGCUUUAGCAUACGAACUACAUGAUCUUGUGCUAGGCUUAGNNNNNNNNNNUGAUCAACCCCUUGGUCACAUUGUGCACAUUAUGAUGAUGUCCUACCGAGUGGGCCCAGAGAUACCUCUCCGUUUACACGGAGUGACAAAAUCCCAAUCUCGAUUCGUGCCAACCCAACAGACAUUUUCAGAGAUACCCGUAGUGUACCUUUAUAGCCACCCAGUUACGUUGUGACGUUUGGCACACCCAAAGCACUCCUACGGUAUCCGGGAGUUGCACAAUCUCAUGGUCUAAGGAAAUGAUACUUGACAUUAGAAAAGCUUUAGCAUACGAACUACAUGAUCUUGUGCUAGGCUUAGGAUUGGGUCUUGUCCAUCACAUCAUUCUCCUAAUGAUGUGAUCCCGUUAUCAACGACAUCCAAUGUCCAUGGUCAGGAAACCGUAACCAUCUAUUGAUUAACGAGCUAGUCAACUAGAGGCUUACUAGGGACAUGGUGUUGUCUAUGUAUCCACACAUGUAUCUGAGUUUCCUAUCAAUACAAUUCUAGCAUGGAUAAUAAACGAUUAUCAUGAACAAGGAAAUAUAAUAAUAAUCAAUUUAUUAUUGCCUCUAGGGCAUAUUUCCAACAAGAAACGGGGAACAAACUGAUGAAAGAAUGAUCAUACCGAGGGAAUUCACUCAGAACUAACAAGAAUGAUAACGUGCUUUGACUGGAGCGGUUUAAAAACUGCUGGAAGGCUCUAGGGGAAUAAAGAUGGAAUGCCUUCAAAUUUCUAGGUCCGUAUGAUUUGAAAUACUUGCACACAAACCGCGCGAAAGCGUUCCUGGAAAUCUCAGCCCAAAAAAGGACGUUUAGUAAUUCUAAAAGGGACUACAGAAUGAAAAACAAUAGUUUUGGCAGUUAAAGUUUGAGAUUCGAUGGUGCCGUAGAUCCGUUUGGUCAUCAGGUGUAACGAGCCACACCCAUGUCUAGCUAGAGUAGUGUGCUAGGCUCAGGCUAGAGAAGAAACGGGGAACAAACUGAUGAAAGAAUGAUCAUACCGAGGGAAUUCACUCAGAACUAACAAGAAUGAUAACGUGCUCCGACUGGAGCGGUUUAGGAACUGCUGGAAGGCUCUAGGGGAAGAAAGAAGGAAUGACUUCUAAUUUUUAGGUCCGUAUGAUUUGAAAUACGUGCACACAAACCGCGCGAAAGCGUUCCUGGAAAUCUCAGCCCAAAAAAGGACGUUUAGUAUUCUAAAAGGGACUACAGAAUGAAAAACAAUAGUUUUGGCAGUUAAAGUUUGAGAUUCGACGGUGCCGUAGAUCCGUUUGGUCAUCAGGUGUUACGAGCCACACCCAUGUCUAGCUAGAAUAGUGUGCNNNNNNNNNNNNNNNNNNNNNNNNNCGUAUGAUUUGAAAUACGUGCACACAAACCGCGCGAAAGCGUUCCUGGAAAUCUCAGCCCAAAAAAGGACGUUUAGUAUUCUAAAAGGGACUACAGAAUGAAAAACAAUAGUUUUGGCAGUUAAAGUUUGAGAUUCGACGGUGCUGUAGAUCCGUUUGGUCAUCAGGUGUUACGAGCCACACCCAUGUCUAGCUAGAAUAGUGUGCUAGGCUCAGGCUAGAGAAGAAAAGGGGAACAAACUAAUGAAAGAAUGAUCAAUACGAGGGAAUUCACUCAGAACUAACAAUAAUGAUAACGUGCUCCGACUGGAGCGGUUUAGGAACUGCUGGAAGGCUCUAGGCGAAUAAAGAUGGAAUGACUUCUAAUUUUUACGUCCGUAUGAUUUGAAAUACUUGCACACAAACCACGCAAAAGCGUUCCUGGAAAUCUCGGCCUAAAAAGGACGUUUAGUAAUUCUAAAAGGGACUACAGGAUGAAAAAUAAUAGUUUGGGCAGUUAAAAUUUGAGAUUCGACGGUGCCGUAGAUCCGUUUGGUCAUCAGGUGUUACGAGCCACACCCAUGUCUAGCUAGAAUAGUGUGUUAGGCUCAGGCUAGAGAAGAAACGAGGAACAAACUGAUGAAAGAAUGAUCAUACCAAGGGAAUUCACUCAGAACUAACAAGAAUGAUAACGUGCUCCGACUGGAGCAGUUUAGAAACUGCUGGAAGGCUCUAGGGGAAUAAAGAUGGAAUGACUUCUGAUUUUUAGGUCCGUAUGAUUUGAAAUACGUGCACACAAACCCCGCGAAAGCGUUCCUGGAAAUCUCAGCCCAAAAAAGGACGUUUAGUAAUUCUAAAAGGGACUACAACAUGAAAAACAAUAGUUUUGGCAGUUAAAGUUUGAGAUUUCAUGGUGCCGUAGAUCUGUUUGGUCAUCAGGUGUUACGAGCCACACCCAUGUCUAGCUAGAAUAGUGUGUUAGGCUCAGGCUAGAAAAGAAACGGGAAACAAAGUGAUGAAAGAAUGACCAUACCGAGGGAAUUCACUCAGAACUAACAAGAAUGAUAACAUGCUCCGACUUGAGCGGUUUAGGAACUGCUGGAAGGCUCUAGGGGAAUAAAGAUGGAAUGACUUCUAAUGUUUAGGUCCGUAUGAUUUGAAAUACUUGCACAUAAACCGCACAAAAGCGUUCCUGGAAAUCUCAGCCCAAAAAAGGACGUUUAGUAAUUCUAAAAGGGACUACAGGAUGAAAAACAAUAGUUUUGGCAGUUAAAGUUUGAGAUUCGACGGUGCCGUAGAUCCGUUUGGUCAUCAGGUGUUACGAGCCACACCCAUGUCUAGCUAGAAUAGUGUGUUAGGCUCAGGCUAGAGAAGAAACUUGGAACAAACUGAUGAAAGAAUGAUCAAACCAACGGAAUUCACUCAGAACUAACAAUAAUGAUAACGUGCUCCGACUGGAGCAGUUUAGGAACUGCUGGAAGGCUCUAGGGGAAUAAAGAUGGAAUGACUUCUAAUUUUUAGGUCCGUAUGAUUUGAAAUACUUGCACGCAAACCGCGCGAAAGCGUUCCUGGAAAUAUCAGCCCAAAAAAGGACGUUUAGUAAUUCUAAAAGGGACUACAGGAUGAAAACAAUAGUUUUGGCAGUUAAAGUUUGAGAUUCAACAGUGCCGUAGAUCCGUUUGGUCAUCAGGUGUUAUGAGCCAUACCCAUGUCUAGCUAGAGUAGUGUGCUAGGCUCAGGCUAGAGAAGAAACAGGGAACAAACUGAUGAAAGAAUGAUCAUACCGAGGGAAUUCACUCAGAACUAACAAGAAUGAUAACGUGCUCCGACUGGAGCGGUUUAGGAACUGCUGGAAGGCUCUAGGGGAAUAAAGAUGGAGUGACUUCUAAAUUUUUAGGUCCGUAUGAUUUAAAAUACUUGCACACAAACCGCACGAAAGCGUUCCUUGAAAUCUCAGCCCAAAAAAGGACGUUUAGUAAGUCUAAAAGGGACUAUAGGAUGAAAAACAAUAGUUUUGGCAGUUAAAGUUUGAGAUUCGAUGGUGCCGUAGAUCUGUUUGGUCAUCAGGUGUUACGAGCCACACCCAUGUCUAGUUGGAAUAGUGUGCUAGGCUCAGACUAGAGAAGAAACAGGGAACAAACUGAUGAAAGAAUGAUCAAACCGAGGAAAUUCACUCAGAACUAACAAUAAUGAUAACAUGCUCCGACUGGAGCGGUUUAGGAACUGCUGGAAGGCUCUAGGGGAAUAAAGAUGGAAUGACUUCUAAAUUUUUAGGUCCGUAUGAUUUGAAAUAGUUGCACACAAACUGCGCGAAAGCGUUCCUGGAAAUCUCAGCCCAAAAAAGGACGUUUAGUAAUUCUAAAAGGGACUAUAGGAUGAAAAACAAUAGUUUUGGCAGUUAAAGUUUGAGAUUCGACGGUGCCGUAGAUCCGUUUGGUCAUCACGUGUUACAAGCCACACCCAUGUCUAGCUAGAGUAGUGUGCUAGGCUCAGACUAUAGAAGAAACGGGGACCAAACUGAUGAAAGAAUGAUCAAACCGAGGAAAUUCACUCAGAACUAACAAUAAUGAUAACAUGCUCCGACUGGAGCGGUUUAGGAACUACUGGAAGGCUCUAGGGGAAUAAAGAUGGAAUGACUUCUAAAUUUUUAGGUCCGUAUGAUUUUAAAUAGUUGCACACAAACUGCGCGAAAGCGUUCCUGGAAAUCUCAGCCCAAAAAAGGACGUUUAGUAAUUCUAAAAGGGACUACAGGAUGAAAAACAAUAGUUUGGGCAGUUAAAAUUUGAGAUUCGACGGUGCCGUAGAUCCGUUUGGUCAUCAGGUGUUACGAGCCACACCCAUGUCUAGCUAGAGUAGUGUGCUAGGCUCAGGCUAGAGAAGAAACAGGGAACAAACUGAUGAAAGAAUGAUCAUACCGAGGGAAUUCACUCAGAACUAACAAGAAUGAUAACGUGCUCUGACUGGAGCGGUUUAAGAACUGUUGGAAGGCUCUAGGGGAAUAAAGAUGGAAUCACUUCAAAUUUUUACGUCCGUGUGAUUUGAAAUACUUGCACACAAACCGCACGAAAGCGUUCCUGGAAAUCUCAGCCCAAAAAAGGACGUUUAGUAAGUCUAAAAGGGACUACACGAUGAAAAACAAUAGUUUUGGCAGUUAAAGUUUGAGAUUCGACAGUGCCGUAGAUCCGUUUGGUCAUCAGGUGUAACGAGCCACACCCAUGUCUAGAUAGAGUAGUGUGCUAGGCUCAAACUAGAGAAGAAACGGGGAACAAACUGAUGAAAGAAUGAUCAUACCGAGGGAAUUCACUCAGAAAUAACAAGAAUGAUAACGUGCUCUGACUGGAGCGGUUUAGGAACUGCUGGAAGGCUCUAGGGGAAUAAAGAAGGAAUGACUUCUAAUUUUUAGGUCCGUAUGAUUUGAAAUACGUGCACACAAACCCCGAGAAAGCGUUCCUGGAAAUCUCGACCCAAAAAAGGACGUUUAGUAAUUCUAAAAGGGACUACGGGAUGAAAAACAAUAGUUUUGGCAGUUAAAGUUUGAGAUUCGAUAAUGCCGUAGAUCCAUUUGGUCAUCAGGUGUAACGAGCCACACCCAUGUCUAGCUAGAGUAGUGUGCUAGGCUCAGACUAGAGAAGAAACAGGGAACAAACUGAUGAAAGAAUGAUCAUAUCGAGGGAAUUCACUCAGAACUAACAAGAAUGAUAACAUGCUCCGACUUGAGCGGUUUAGGAACUGCUGGAAGGCUCUAGGGGAAUAAAGAUGGAAUGACUUCUAAUUUUUAGGUCCGUAUGAUUUGAAAUACUUACACACAAACCACGCGAAAGCGUUCCUGGAAAUCUCAGCCCAAAAAAGGACGUUUAGUAAUUCUAAAAGGGACUACAUGAUGAAAAACAAUAGUUUUCGCAGUUAAAGUUUGAGAUUCGACGGUGCCGUAGAUCCGUUUGGUCAUCAAGUGUUACGAGCCACACCCAUGUCUAGCUAGAAUAGUGUGUUAGGCUCAGCCUAGAGAAGAAACGGGGAACAAACUGAUGAAAGAAUGAUCAUACCGAGGGAAUUCACUCAGAACUUACAAGAAUGAUAACGUGCUCCGACUUGAGCGGUUUAAGAACUGUUGGAAGGCUCUAGGGGAAUAAAGAUGGAAUCACUUCAAAUUUUUACGUCCGUGUGAUUUGAAAUACUUGCACACAAACCCCGAGAAAGCGUUCCUGGAAAUCUCGGCCGAAAAAAGGAUGUUUAAUAAUUCUAAAAGGGACUACAGGAUGAAAAACAAUAGCUUUGGCAGUUAAAGUUUGUGAUUCGAUGGUGCCGUAGAUCUGUUUGGUCAUCAGGUGUUAUGAGCCACACCCAUGUCUAGCUAGAAUAGUGUGUUAGGCUCAGGCUAGAGCAGAAACUAGGAACAAACUUAUGAAAGAAUGAUCAUACCGAGGGAAUUCACUCAGAACUAACAAGAAUGAUAACGUGCUCCGACUGGAGCGGUUUAGGAACUGCUGGAAGGCUCUAGGGGAAUAAAGAUGGAAUGACUUCUAAUUUUUAGGUCCGUAUGAUUUGAAAUACAUGCACACAAACCCCAAGAAAGCGUUCCUAGAAAUCUCAGCCCAAAAAGGACGUUUAGUAAUUCUAAAAGGGACUACAGGAUGAAAAACAAUAGGUUUGGCAGUUAAAGUUUGAGAUUCGAUAAUGCCGUAGAUCCGUUUGGUCAUCAGGUGUAACGAGCCACACCCAUGUCUAGCUACAUUAGUGUGCUAGGCUCAGACUAGAGAAGAAACGGGGAACAAACUGAUGAAAGAAUGAUCAUACCGAGGGAAUUCACUCAGAACUAACAAGAACGAUAACAUGCUCCGACUGCAGCGGUUUAGGAACUGCUGGAAGGCUCUAGGGGAAUAAAGAAGGAAUGACUUCUAAUUUUUAGGUCCGUAUGAUUUGAAAUACUUGCACACAAACCGCGCGAAAGCAUUCCUGGAAAUCUCAGCCCAAAAAAGGACGUUUAGUAAUUCUAAAAGGGACUACAGGAUGAAAAACAAUAAUUUUGGCAGUUAAAGUUUGAGAUUCGACGGUGCCGUAGAUCCGUUUGGUCAUCAGGUGUUACGGGCCAUACCCAUGUCUAGCUAGAAUAGUGUGUUAGGCUCAGGUUAGAGAAGAAACGGGGAACAAAGUGAUGAAAGAAUGAUCAUACCGAGGGAAUUCACUCAGAACUAACAAGAAUGAUAACGUGCUCCGACUGGAGCGGUUUAGGAAUUGCUGGAAGGCUCUAGGGGAAUAAAGAUGGAAUGACUUCUAUAUUUUACGUCCGUAUGAUUUGAAAUACUUGCACACAAACCACGCAAAAGCACUCCUGGAAAUAUCAGCCUAAAAAGGAUGUUUAGUAAUUCUAAAAGGGACUACAGGAUGAAAAAUAAUAGUUUUGGCAGUUAAAAUUUGAGAUUCAACGGUGCCGUAAAUCCGUUUGGUCAUCAGGUGUUACGAGCCACACCCAUGUCUAGCUAGAAUAGUGUGUUAGGCUCAGGUUAGAGAAGAAACGGGGAACAAACUGAUGAAAGAAU